GCGUCUGAUUAGCCAGUUGGCAGGGUAACGGCCUACCAAAGCGACGAUCAGUAGCCGGCCUGAGAGGGCGGACGGCCACACUGGGACUGAGACACGGCCCAGACUCCUACGGGAGGCAGCAGUGGGGGAUAUUGCACAAUGGGGGGAACCCUGAUGCAGCGACGCCGCGUGGGUGAAGAAGCGCCUCGGCGCGUAAAGCCCUGUCAGCAGGGAAGAAAAUGACGGUACCUGAAGAAGAAGCCCCGGCUAACUACGUGCCAGCAGCCGCGGUAAUACGUAGGGGGCAAGCGUUAUCCGGAUUUACUGGGUGUAAAGGGGGCGCAGACGGCGAUGCAAGCCAGGAGUGAAAGCCCGGGGCCCAACCCCGGGACUGCUCUUGGAACUGCGUGGCUGGAGUGCAGGAGGGGCAGGCGGAAUUCCUGGUGUAGCGGUGAAAUGCGUAGAUAUCAGGAGGAACACCGGUGGCGAAGGCGGCCUGCUGGACUGCAACUGACGUUGAGGCCCGAAAGCGUGGGGAGCAGACAGGAUUAGAUACCCUGGUAGUCCACGCCGUAAACGAUGAUUACUAGGUGUCGGGGAGCAGAGACUGCCCG
rnacentral:rRNA from 1 species